rnacentral:rRNA from 1 species
CGGUUAAAAAGCUCGUAGUUGGAUUUCUGUCGAGAGUGGGUGGUCCCUGUUUUGCAGGUGUAUCAAUCUGGUCUUGGCAUCUUUACUGGGGUCGAUUCUGCGAUUCAUUUCGUGGGUCGAUGCUAGUAACUUUUACUUUGAGGAAAUUAGAGUGCUCACGGCAGGCAAACGCCUUGAAUACAUUAGCAUGGAAUAAUAAUAUAGGGCCUCGGGUCUAUUUUGUUGGUUUCUAGAGCCGAGGUAAUGAUUAAUAGGGACAAUUGGGGGCAUUCGUAUUAACACGUCAGAGGUGGAAUUCUUGGAUUGUGUUACGACGAACUACUGCGAAAGCAUUUGCCAAGGAUGUUUUCAUUGAUCAAGAACGAAAGUGAGGGGAUCGAAGAUGAUUAGAUACCGUCGUAGUCUUCACCAUAAACUAUGCCGACUAGAGAUUGGAGGUAGUUUUUCUAUGACUCCUUCAGCAUCUUAUGAGAAAUCAAAGUCUUUGGGUUCCGGGGGGAGUAUGGUCGCAAGGCUGAAACUUAAAGGAAUUGACGGAAGGGCACCACCAGGAGUGGAGCCUGCGGCUUAAUUUGACUCAACACGGGAAAACUUACCAGGUCCAGACAUAUUGAGGAUUGACAGAUUAAGAGCUCUUUCUUGAUUAUAUGGGUGGUGGUGCAUGGCCGUUCUUAGUUGGGGGAGUGAUUUGUCUGGUUAAUUCCGU